rnacentral:rRNA from 1 species
UACGAAGGGGGCUAGCGUUGCUCGGAAUCACUGGGCGUAAAGCGCACGUAGGCGGGUCGUUAAGUCGGGGGGGAAAUCCUGGAGCUCAACUCCAGAACUGCCUUCGAUACUGGCGAUCUUGAGUCUGGGAGAGGUGAGUGGAACUCCGAGUGUAGAGGUGAAAUUCGUAGAUGUUCGGAAGAACACCAGUGGCGAAGGCGGCUCACUGGCCCGGUACUGACGCUGAGGUGCGAAAGCGUGGGGAGCAAACAGG